GAUGAACGCUAGCGGGAGGCCUAACACAUGCAAGCCGAGCGGUAGAGAUCUUUCGGGAUCUUGAGAGCGGCGUACGGGUGCGGAACACGUGUGCAACCUGCCUUUAUCCGGGGGAUAGCCUUUCGAAAGGAAGAUUAAUACCCCAUAAUAUAUUUAUCGGCAUCGAUGAAUAUUGAAAACUCCGGUGGAUAGAGAUGGGCACGCGCAAGAUUAGAUAGUUGGUGAGGUAACGGCUCACCAAGUCUGCGAUCUUUAGGGGGCCUGAGAGGGUGAUCCCCCACACUGGUACUGAGACACGGACCAGACUCCUACGGGAGGCAGCAGUGAGGAAUAUUGGACAAUGGGUGAGAGCCUGAUCCAGCCAUCCCGCGUGAAGGACGACGGCCCUAUGGGUUGUAAACUUCUUUUGUAUAGGGAUAAACCUACUCUCGUGAGAGUAGCUGAAGGUACUAUACGAAUAAGCACCGGCUAACUCCGUGCCAGCCGCCGCGGUAAGAC
rnacentral:rRNA from 1 species